GUCUGGUUAAUUCCGAUAACGAACGAGACCUUAACCUGCUAACUAGUCCAGAUUAUUCUAUAGUCUCGGACUUCUUAGAGGGACUAUGCGUAUUAAACGCAUGGAAGUUUGAGGCAAUAACAGGUCUGUGAUGCCCUUAUAUGUCCUGGGCUGCACGCGUGCUACACUGAUGCAUACAGCAAGUGCCUAACCAGUCAUGGCUUGGCAAUCUCCAAUAUGCAUCGUGAUGGGGAUAGAUCUUUGCAAUUAUAGAUCUUGAACGAGGAAUUCCUAGUAAGUGCAAGUCAUCAUCUUGCAUUGAUUAUGUCCCUGCCCUUUGUACACACCGCCCGUCGCUCCUACCGAUACCGGGUGGUUCGGUGAACCUUUUGGACCUCUUAUGAGGAAAAAUAAGUAAACCAUAUCACCUAGAGGAAGGAGAAGUCGUAACAAGGUUUCCGUAGGUGAACCUGCRGAAGGAUCA
rnacentral:rRNA from 1 species